rnacentral:rRNA from 1 species
CUGACUGCUAUCGGAUGAUACUAAGCCAUGCGAGUCUUGUAGUAAUACAAGGCAGACGGCUCAGUAACACGUAGUCAACCUACCCUAUGGACAAGAAUAAUCUCGGGAAACUGGGCAUAAUUCUUGAUAGAUCAUAAUGCCUGGAAUGGUUUAUGGUUAAAAUGAUUCGUCGCCAUAGGAUGGGACUGCGGCCUAUCAGCUUGUUGGUGAGGUAAUGGCCCACCAAGGCGAUUACAGGUACGGGCUCUGAGAGGAGAAGCCCGGAGAUGGGUACUGAGACACGGACCCAGGCCCUAUGGGGCGCAGCAGGCGAGAAAACUUUGCAAUGUGCGAAAGCACGACAAGGUUAAUCCGAGUGAUUUCCGCUAAAGAAAUCUUUUGCCAGUCAUAAAACCACUGGUGAAUAAGGGGUGGGCAAGUUCUGGUGUCAGCCGCCGCGGUAAAACCAGCACCUCAAGUGGUCAGGAUGAUUAUUGGGCCUAAAGCAUCCGUAGCCUGUUUUGUAAGUUUUCGGUUAAAUCCAUGUGCUCAACGCAUGGGCUGCCGAAAAUACUGCAUAGCUAGGGAGUGGGAGAGGUAGACGGUACUCAGUAGGUAGGGGUAAAAUCCUUUGAUCUAUUGAUGACCACCUGUGGCGAAGGCGGUCUACCAGAACACGUUCGACGGUGAGGGAUGAAAGCUGGGGGAGCAAACCGGAUUAGAUACCCGGGUAGUCCCAGCUGUAAACGAUGCAGACUCGAUGAUGCAUUGGCAUAAUAGCCAUUGCAGUGUCGCAGGGAAGCCGUUAAGUCUGCCGCCUGGGAAGUACGUACGCAAGUAUGAAACUUAAAGGAUUGGCGGGGGAGCACCAC